rnacentral:tRNA from 1 species
AACUCCGUGGCCUAAUGGAUUAGGCGUCUGACUUCGAAUCAGAAGAUUGCGGGUUCGAGUCCCGUAGGGGUCG